UAGAAUGUCCCUACUGUUCAUAGAAUGGAAAGCCUCUUUGUCUUCUGGGCCUGAUGGCCAAAGAUGGCCUCUGCCUGCGGUGCCAUGGAGACCACAGGAACCUGGGACACUGGUUAAGUAAUGGAUAUUUCAUAUUUUAAUUGUCUUAAUUAAUAAUUUUUAAUUAAAUUUUAAUUAAUACAUAGGCCAUUUAGAUUAUAUUUUAUCCUUCUCAAGUCUCUGAUCACAUCGUCAGCUUAGCUGACUAUAACUUGACAGCUAGAGAACAGGCAACUACUCUUUAACCCUAAGGUAAUCCACCACUGUGCCAGUUCAUUAGUCAAUUCAUUAGUUAGUUGAAACUACUAGAUCUCUUAUUUUAAAAAGACAAACAGGUUUGCCUUGCUCAUGGGCUUCAUGUUAAAAGAUAAACAGGCUUCAGAUGUAACUUUUUACUAGUCCUUCAUCUAAAGGAACUCACUUUACAGUGACUAUUCCCACAGACUAGUCCUACAGUGACCUGUGUUUUAUGGUAAACAAUUGGAUAUGAAAAAAAUGGAAAGGUUGUGUAAGCUUAAGUUAUGAGGAUGUAAGGAAGUGUUUUAGGAUAGAAGAAGGUGUCUUAAGGUUCAUAGAUGCAAGUAAAAGCCUAAACAGUGAUAAGAAAAUGAUUUAAGGUAUAUCAAAAGAAUAAAAAACACUUCAGAUUUCCCCCUCAUUAUCUGACUGUUGUAUUAGGACUUCAAUAGCCCAGAGAUUUAACAUUAAUCAAUGAAAUUCUGAUAAGUUAUUAGUCUAAUUCUGAUAAUUCUGAUUCAUAUAGUGGCUUCCACUACAUGAUCCACUAUCAAAAUCACAAGUUCAAGAUUUUAGAUUUCCUCUGGUUGUCUUUUAAGAAUAGACUUAAGUGUUUCUCACUGUGCUCCAUUUACAAGCGUCCCGUCUUCUGGAUAGAGGGAAGAGGCCCCUCCUCCACAAUCUGCAGUCAUAGGAAAAUCAAGAUCUGGAUUCUUGUAAGCUUCAGGAAACCCACUCAGAUCCACCGCUCAUGGGUCAAAUGGACUCUGGGUUUUUCCUGAAGGCUAAGGCCUUCCCAGAUUUUCAUUGGGGCCUUGUGGUGCAAGUGGACUGUGCCACCAGACAGAAGUGGUAAGGUUGAAGCAAGUUCAAAACCCCAGGGGAUCUCAGAAUUGAGAAAGGUAGGUGUGAAACCAGCUCCCUACUAUGCUCUACUUGUCCUGGAACAUGUAACCAUGACAACCCAUUGAGAGGGCCAUGGCAAUCAGUCAUUAGGGACAACACCUGAAACUCUUCCUUAUGCAAAUAAAGCAUCCCCAACAUCUCAGACUGAGCCAAUGAGAAGGAUGCAUCCCCAAA